rnacentral:lncRNA from 1 species
UUUAAGGAAAAGGCAUCUUUGUUGAAAUUGGAACGGGUCAAGGGUGAAAAGGUGAGGUGAGGCAGAUGUCGUUCUGUGUAUUGCAGUAUCCCAAGAUCUACAACAUCUCGGGGGAAUGGUAAGCUUAAUACUUAGUUGUUGAGUGCCUGCCCUAUGAAUCUUUGGGGUGUUAUUUGUUAUGUAUGUAUCACUAAAAGAGUAUUAAGCUUUCCCCACACUGUCUGGUUUGUCUCACUAGAGAAUGGCAAUUCUCUUUCCACCAGAAAAGAGUUUGUUUUGUUGAAGAAAUCCUGAAGUCACUUUCCAUAGUUGGCGUUUCGUUUUUGAGCUUCAGGGUGCCUUCUGAAGCUGCUGGGAGAGAGGACUCUUGCAGGAUAGCCAAAAGGCCGGCACUACCCAUGUCUAGGUUAGACAAAGAUAGAAACAUGCUUCUGGACUCCCUCCUGGGCUAAAACUACUCAUUGGCAUCAGAAACUCUUUUCUGUUUUUAAAAAUUCCUGUAGCCUGUAAUUUGCACACUAAAUUUGUCUGUGUUGGUACUGGCAUCAGUUAACGCAAUCUCUUUUUCCAAUGCAUGGCUCACCCACACAUUUGCGGCUACAAGUCCAAUUUGACCCCUAGCCUGGGAACCUCUAUAUGCUGUGGGAAGCGGCCCUAGAAAAGGCAAAAAGACCAAAAAAAAUUAAUGAUAAUAAAAUAAAAUGCACAUUGGGGAGUUCCUGUGGUGGCUCAGCGGGUUAAGAACCUGACUUGUAUCCUUGAGCAUGCAGAUUCCAUCCCUGGCCUCGCUCAGUGGGUCAGGGAUCCAGCAUUGCCCGUGAGCUGUGGUGUACGUUGGUGAUGCGGCUUGGGUCCAGGGUUGCUGUGGCUGUGGUAGAGGACUGCAGCUGUAGCUCCAAUUUGAUUCCUAGCCUGUGAACUUCCAUGUACCGCAGGUACAGCCCUAAAAAGACAAAAACAAACAAACAAACAAAGAAAACAAACAAAAAACAGAAAUUCACAUUGGGGUUUAUUUUCCUCGGACCAGGUGCAUUGUUAUACUUCUUUUACAACAAAGGAAACUCCUUCGCCGGAGAUGGUGCCCCAGAGAAAUGGAUUGAACUGAAUUCUGCGGUAGGAAGAGCACCAAUCUUAUAGGCGUCCUUUGCUUCUUUCCUUCUGUCUUCCUCCCUCACCCUCACCCCCUUCAAGUCUAUUCUGUUAAUCUAUUGAUGUUGCCUUCAUAGGGUUUGACUGUGGGUUUCCAACUGUCCCUAGGGCACUCACAGACCUUUCUCGUGAAACCAAAAACCACUCUCCCCGCCCUUCUGGCUCAUCCUGACUGCUCCUGUUGAAACACCUUGAAAUCCUCAGGCUUGUGUGGCCUCAGGUGGUUACUGAUCUUCAGCAUCUCAGAUAUCUGUAGAGGGAGCAUGAUCAUAGUACCUGGGAGUUGGGUUCUUUCGAGUUUUAGAUGAGUAUGUAAAGCUCUUCCAAACAGGCCAGAUAUAAGUAGGGGUUUUACUGUACAUACAGUGUUUUUGUUUGUUUGUUUGUUUUUCUUUUCUUUUCUGGCCACCCCAUGGCACGUGGAGUUCCUGGGCCAGGGAUCAGAUCCACAGCUGUGACCUAAGCUGCAACUGUGGCAAUGGCUGGGUCCUUAACCCACUAUACCAGGCUGGGAUUGAACCUGUGUCCCAGUGCUCCCAAGGUACUCCUGAUCUCGUUGUACCGCAUUGGGAACUCCCAGUGUUAGCUGUUUUUGUUCUUACUGUUCCUGCUCAUUCCCUCACUCAUGACCAAAACUCUCAAAUGCUGGGCAUCGGUUCCCCAGGAGCAUCUCAUGUGGCCUGAGUCUGGCCUCCUUUGGCCUGUGUCCCCCACCCCCCGCAUAGUCAUCUAUUCCAGCAGCUGGCCUGGCUGGGGGGCCCUCCUUCCUCUUAGAACUACGUCGUCCUUCUCAUCUGGGCUUCUUUCCUCUCACUUUCCUUCCCCUAUUGUUGUGAUUAAUCCUCUAGCCCAUUUCUCCAGUUUCUGGGCUUGAACAAGUCCCCCUUGUCUGCUUCUCUUCCCCCUUGGUUGCCUCCAGCUCUCUUCCCCAUCCCUCCCUGUCUUUCUUCUGCUUUUUUCCUCCACCUUCCAUCUCCCCCAAUUCCCACCCCAUGUUUCCUUAUUAAAACAACUUAAACCUUGGGAGAAAGGUUGCAGUUUUAUCAUAUUCCUAGUGGUCUAGCAUACAGCAGGAGUGUGUGACCAGUGAGACUGAAAAUUUAUAGUAGCAAGAAUAGUAGGUUGAGAGGACCCGAAGGUACCUCAUCCUGACAAAUGUGCAAAGUAGAGGGUAAUAGAGUUUAUGAAACCUGCGUUGCUUCACAUAAUUCAAUGGUGGAGGGGCAGGAGUUAGAGGAAAAGGAUGAACAGAAGUACUUAGGGUAGAAACCUGCAGCAUGUAGUUUUUGCUUAAUGAUGCCAAAGAAAUUUCCUCUUCAUUUUUAUGGAAAAAAACAUAUUUUAAAUUCUAGAAACUUCUACCUGCCUGUCUCUUUCGAUGUGUGCAUGUAUGUGUGUGAGUAUGCGUGAUGUGCGUUUGUAUUUUAAAACACAGUCAUUUACUAUGAAACUGCGACAGUUAAAUAGUAUAUGUUGUUACUGCAAGGGAGAUAUUUUAAUACUACAUAUUUAACUGUUCUCAUGAAACACAAUCUACCGUUUUUGAAUAUGUUCCUUCCCUUUUGUGGCUUUUCACUCAUUUUACUCCAAAUUCCCUGUAAAUCUUACUAAGAAUGAAGGUAAAUUAAACAAGGCCCUGGUGUUUUGAUAGAUUUCUUCAAGAUCUGGUUCCCAGCUUUUAUUUACUCCUGGGUUUGUCUGAUAAAACCCUGGCAUGCUUUAAAAUUUUUUUUUUAAACUUCAUCUAAUAAUUGAUGAGACACUGAUGUUUGCAAUUGCACCAUAUCCAGAAUUGCAAGUGUAAGAAAAAAAUAAGGCUACAGGAGCAUUUUUCCUUUAACAUGUUGGGUAAUAAUUCUUUCUUUUUGAAGUGAGUGGUGGCCUCUCUAGGAAGGAAACGGUGUUUCUCUGUGAGGCCAGGGCGAGGUCUCUUGGCUCCAAGAACAGAUGCUUACAAAUGAGCUCGUUGGCCUCCCCAGAUACUAGGAGAGGACUGAGGGUAAAUACAUACAGUCCCCCUUUUCCAACUGUCACCUUCCUUUCUGCCUUCAGUGCCCAUUGAUGUUGAGCAGGUGAGAGUGGAUAAAUAAUUUAUAUCAUAGUAUCCGCUUCGUCAGAAAUCCGUAAAGAUUUCUUGAAGGGUUUAGAUCUAAAAAUCUUUCUGAAUUAAGCCCUAAAUUAUUAAUAUUGUGAAACUAGGGUCUCUUUCUUGCCUGUGCUGUGUAUGCUGCUAUAUUUUGAAACGGAACGAUUCGUGGACCCCUCCACCCAUUGUUCCUCUUUUUUGGUCUAAUGCAGACAGCACAGAGGAAAUGGAAAGUUCUCAGCAUUUUUACAACCACUGCUAGAUGUCUUUUAUGGGCCUGAUAAAUUCAGUAGACAAAAUCAAAGUAGUUAGUCUCUUGGGCUUUAGUGUUCUCAUCUGUAAAAUCAGGAGAUGCACUGAAGAUUCUUUCUAGCUUUAGAUUGUGUAAUUCUUUCUUUCAGAAUUUGUGUGGAGUUUAUAACAUUGAUGGGAACUAAAGUUUAGGCCAGUAAAACAAGACAGAAAUCAGGUUCUCAGACACAGGGUGAUUUUUUCAGCCUAGUGUCUGCCAGUCCAAGCCUUGUUAUAACCACAGUGUGGCAAGAUCUGAUGUCCUAUUAUUAUUUCUUUCACUUGAGAAUGCUUCAGCUGCCGAGAUCUAUCAUAGAAGUUGUUACACUGUGAGUUUCCCCAUAUCCAUCAGAAGAAGAAAAUCCAUCAUGCUUUUGACUAGUUUUUCCUCUCCAAGAAAAUGAUGUUUAAGAGAAUGACAUGUAAUAUAGACUUAACUAUUCUUAAGGCAUUGAAGAAACUGCAUCUGAAAUAAAAUCAAUACAUGAUGCAGUAGUUUAUUUACAUUUAAAAUAUUGAAUGGCAAAGCGUUUUAUCAAAGACUUUGGGACCAAAUACGCAUUCUAGAGCUACACAGAGUCAAAAGGAUAAAAGGUAGAAGAGAAAGAGGCAGAGUUACUAUGUAGUUGUGGUACAAUUACUCUGUGUAUCUCAACUACACUAACAACAGAAAUGUAGAUAUUAGGGUUGGUAUGUUUAGAGAUUUUUAAAUUUCAUCCUAUAAUAUUGAUUCAAGUCAUAAUAGUUACCAGGCAACUAAGAGGAACAAAAGCACAGUCUUACCCUUCAUAUUUCUAGUUUUAUUUUGCAUUGCAUUCUGUUUUAUAGGUAGGUGAAUAAAUUAUGUGUUGCUGUUACACCUUUUUAGAUAAGUCCUUUUUUUUUAAUGUUCUGUAGCAGUUUAUAUAGCAUGGAAAUUACUCGUCCUUGAAAUUUGAAAUAAUUGGCCAAUAAAAUCGAAUGGGCACUGAGGUUUUUUUUUAAUUGGUGUAAAUUACUUCAUGCAUUUCUUAAUUUCUUCUAUUUACUGGUUUCUUUUGAGAAUUGAAAUCUGUAUAGAGAACCAUCAGUUACUUUAAGAUUUUAAAGUUUUACCAUGAAUCAUUUUGCAAUACGUGUAUGUAUUGAAUCAUUGGAUUGUGUUAAAUUUGCUCAAUGUUACGUGUCAAUUAUAUCUUAGUAAAGCUGGAAAAAAAGACCAGAAUUUGUCAGGAAAUUUUACAUUAGGUAACUGUAAUUUACUUAAUAAAAAUUUAGACAGUUUUUUUCUGAUUUUAUUUGUGUUUUCUCUUUUUCUUUGAUUAGAUCUGUUUAUUCUCCCCUCCACAAAAUCUAGCUCUUGGAUUCCUUUAUUUAUGCUGAUGCUUUUUGGUUUUCUGUUUACUUUUUGAUGGGAUCCUUAAUCUUCUCCUUCAGCUUUCCUAUUGUAUGUAUUUCAGUGGCUCCCAUUCUGAUAUAAGGAGGUCGACCUGAAACUCACCUGCCUGACCGCCUGCCCCCGCCCCCGCACUGGCCUCUUCUGUGGCUCUUGGUCUCCAUUCUCAUGAGGAAGGAUGUGAGAAUUCGUGGGCCUGUGUGUCUCUCUGGCUCUUCCUGUACAUUUCGCAUCACCUGGCUUCAACUCUCAGCACCAUUGCUGCUCCUAGGCUCAUAGUUUACAGCCGUUGUCACAGUGCUGGGUUCAAAAAGGGCAUGCCCUCCCCUUUAUCACCCUAGUCUGAGCUUGGAUGGAGACCCCCUCCCCUAGUUCCUCAAAGAUUUCUAAAUUGAGGCUAUAACAUUUAACAUGACUUGAUCAAAGUUUAGGCUAAUUGGAGAGAACUGUAGCCCAGAAUUAGCUGCAAGAUAUGACGAUUAUGGGGCUUCACGUGAGGUUGGAUUUUAGGCUUGAUGUGUCUCCAUGGGGUGGAAGUCAGUAUUCUCCACCAUCCUUGUACCUGUAAGUGAAUCUAUCCACUUGAGAGUUCAGGCCAAAGUCUCCCUCGAAUUAGAGAAAAAAAGGGAGUUUUAUUCUCAGCCUAAGACCUUUCUUUCUUGAUUUCCCCUUUUAGGAUCUACCUCUUCCCAGGAUGACUGAUGGAAAGAAUAUUCAGUUCCAUCAAAGGAACCAUCCAGCUUACCCAGAGUGUUAGUCCCUUAACCUAUAGCAGCUCUAGCCAGACAACCACAGAACCCAGUGGUCCAGACAUUUUUAGCUUUGUGGACACAGGCUUUGAGUCAUCUGUGAACACUAUGAAACUGUGUGUAAAAUUUUUUUCUGGGGAGCAGAUUUACAGCAUUUAUCAGAUUAUUACAAUGAUCUGGCAUCUCCCCUAAAGAUUAAGAAUCACUUCAGGCGUUCCAUUUGUGGCUCAGUGGUUAACGAAUCCAACUAGGAACCAUGAGGUUGCGGGUUGGAUCCCUGGCCUUGCUCAGUGGGUUGAGGUUCCGGCGUUGCCAUGAGCUGUGGUGUAGGUUGCAGACACGACUUGGAUCCUGUGUUGUUGUGGCUCUGGCGUAGGCUGGCGGCUAUAGCUCUGAUUAGACCCCUAGCCUGGGAACCUCCACAUGCCUCGGGAGUUGGUCCAAGAAAUGGCAAAAAGACACACACAC